rnacentral:tRNA from 1 species
CAAUGUAGCUCAGGGGUAGAGCACUUCCUUGGUAAGGAAGAGGUCAUGGGUUCAAUUCCCAUCAUUGG